GACGAACCGUGCGAACGUUAUUCGGAAUCACUGGGCUUAAAGCGCGUGUAGGCGGGACGGCACGUCGGUCGCUGAAAGCCCCCGGCUCAACCGGGGAACGGGCGCCGAUACGACCGUCCUCGAGGAACGUAGGGGGACCUGGAACUUCCGGUGGAGCGGUGAAAUGCGUUGAGAUCGGAAGGAACGCCCGUGGCGAAAGCGAGGUCCUGGACGUUUACUGACGCUGAGACGCGAAAGCCAGGGGAGCGAACGGG
rnacentral:rRNA from 1 species